AUUGAACGCUGGCGGCAUGCCUUACACAUGCAAGUCGAACGGUAACAGGUCAAGCUGACGAGUGGCGAACGGGUGAGUAAUGUAUCGGAACGCGCCCAGUCGUGGGGGAUAACUGCUCGAAAGAGCAGCUAAUACCGCAUACGACCUGAGGGUGAAAGCGGGGGAUCGCAAGACCUCGCGCGAUUGGAGCGGCCGAUAUCAGGUUAGGUAGUUGGUGGGGUAAAGGCUCACCAAGCCGACGAUCUGUAGCUGGUCUGAGAGGACGACCAGCCACACUGGGACAGCGACGCGGCCCAGACUCCUACGGGAGGCAGCAGUGGGGAAUUUUGGACAAGGGACGCAAGCCUGAUCCAGCCACGCCGCGUGCGGGAAGAAGGCCUUCUGGUUGUAAACCGCUUUUGUCAGGGAAGAAAAGGUUCUGGCUAAUACCUGGGACUCAUGACGGUACCUGAAGAAUAAGCACCGGCUAACUACGUGCCAGCCGCCGCGGUAACAC
rnacentral:rRNA from 1 species